GGGUUGUCCGCGGGCCAGAGACGGUCAGGCUCGCUCUACCGCUCUCAGGCACCUGCCUUUCUCUGCGUUCCGGAAUGCGGCCAAGACCGAAUAAAGGAAAUUACAUAGUAAGCGGAGAUCGGGUGUCUGAGCAGCGCCUUGGAUCAAAUCCACUCAUGACAGGAACUUCUUGCAUCCAUAACCCCUCAGAAUGAAGAUAUGGAAAAAACUGCCUAAUUAUGAAAAUCUUACAUGACAUUUCUAAUAUCUAGGGCCAGCAGGUAAAGGCACCUGCUACCAAACCUGACUAGUACAGGCAAGUGGAGAGAAAGAAUUCAAGAGAUGCAGGCAAGAGGAUCAGAUAAAUGAAGAUUUUGUAUACUGAGACUCAGGACGUUUUGACUCAACCACAUAUCAACCAGUAUUUCUCAAACUGAGGAAUGUUGACUAUUAAAGGACAUUGAGAAAUCAAGAUAGAAAUACCAGACAGUUUCCUGGCAGACUGAUUUCAUGUAUGUUGGGGGAAGCAAGAGGAAACAGACUAAAGUUUAGAGAACUACAUAGAAAUACUACAAGAAGCAACUGAUGUAUUUCUAAGAGAAGGGCACAAUCUGAUCCUCACCUUGGGAAGCCCCCUUUGGAUACAGUGGACGUACAAGUAAAAAGUAAGAAAAUUUCAUAUCGAGGCUGUGUCGACUGAGAAAUGUCUUGCUAUCUAAAGGAAUUUCAAUAUUUGACGGAUGAGGAAUGGGUUCACAAAUCAGCACCAAGCACGUCAUGGGUGGUUUCUUGUACCCACACUGAGCAUGUCAGUAGGUCUGACAGCUCCAUCCAGGGAGAGUGUGUGUAAGACGGCAGUGACUCCCUGGACUGUGGGAGGAGAGUCCACACUUCACAGGAUUAAUUAUUCAUCUGUGCUGAUUUUGCUUGCAUGUCUAUGGGAGUGUGUCAGAUCUUGGAGUAACAGACCAUUGUGAGCUGCCAUGAGGAUGUGAAUUUGAAGUGGGGUCCCCCCUCCCGAAGAACAGUCAGUGGCCCUAACCACUGAGCCAUCUCUUCAGCCCUUCUCUUACUUCUCUUUUUGAGACAGGGUCUCACUCUGUAGCCUUACCUGGCUUGAAACUAGUUACAUAAACCAGGCUGGCCUGGAAAUCAAGAGAUCUGCCUAUAUCUGCCUCCUAAGUGCUAGGAUUAAAGGAACUCACCGGCAUCCAGAAGUUUUCUCACACGUAAAUAACUGAUGGUGAGCCUCAUAACAGAAGCUUUAUCAAGAUGUGAGCUCACAUUGUGGGGAAGUGGCAACUGAUGAGCAAGCUCAUAAAAAACUUCAGACUCUUUGCUUCGCCGAGAUCUUGCUGCAUCUCUAGACUUUUCUUUUCGACGUUCAGAACUCAUCCUACUUAACAAAAAAAAAAAAAGAGAGACAAGAAUGUACAUGUUAGUUUGUCUUAACUCGAAUAAAAUUAAUUUUG
rnacentral:lncRNA from 1 species